rnacentral:rRNA from 1 species
UACGUAGGGGGCUAGCGUUGUUCGGAAUUACUGGGCUUAAAGCGUGCGCAGGCGGCUUCUCAAGUCAGAGGUGAAAGCCCAGAGCUCAACUCUGGAAUUGCCUUUGAGACUGAGUGUCUUGAGUACGAGAGAGGUGAGUGGAAUUCCCAGUGUAGAGGUGAAAUUCGUAGAUAUUGGGAAGAACACCGGUGGCGAAGGCGGCUCACUGGCUCGUAACUGACGCUCAUGCACGACAGCGUGGGGAUCAAACAGG